rnacentral:rRNA from 1 species
UACGUAGGGUGCGAGCGUUAAUCGGAAUUACUGGGCGUAAAGCGUGCGCAGGCGGUUAUUUAAGACAGGUGUGAAAUCCCCGGGCUUAACCUGGGAAUUGCGCUUGUGACUGGAUAGCUAGAGUGCGGCAGAGGGGGGUGGAAUUCCACGUGUAGCAGUGAAAUGCGUAGAGAUCGGGAGGAACAUCAGUUGCGAAGGCGGCUCUCUGGACCAGCACUGACACUGAGGCACGAAAGCGUGGGGAGCAAACAGG